UAUAGUUAGAAGCAAGCAAAAAUUAAUAAUAUUUUGCCUAGAUAAACCAAUUAUGAAAAAAUGAUAAAGUUUCUAAUUAUAGACCCGAAGACUAGUGAUCUUACUAUGAUCAGGAUUAUAAAAGUCCGAACGGGUUAUCGUGGUAAAGAUAUCCGAAGAAUCAUUGUAAGUUCGUGAAAGACAAAACAGACUAGUAUAGCUGG
rnacentral:ncRNA from 1 species